rnacentral:rRNA from 1 species
CCUACGGGAGGCAGCAGUGGGGAAUAUUGCACAAUGGGGGAAACCCUGAUGCAGCGACGCCGCGGGAGUGAAGAAGGAUUUCGGUAUGGAAAGCUCUAUCAGCAGGGAAGAGAAUGACGGUACCUGAGUAAGUAGCCCCGGCUAACUACGUGCCAGCAGCCGCGGUAAUACGGAAGGGGCAAGCGUUAUCCGGAUUUACUGGGUUUAAGGGGAGCGUAGACGGCGAAGAAAGUCUGAAGUGAAAGCCCGCGGCUCAACCGCGGAACUGCUUUGGAAACUUUUUUGCUGGAGUACCGGAGAGGUAAGCGGAAUUCCUAGUGUAGCGGUGAAAUGCGUAGAUAUUAGGAGGAACACCAGUGGCGAAGGCGGCUUACUGGACGGUAACUGACGUUGAGGCUCGAAAGCGUGGGGAGCAAACAGGAUUAGAUACCCCAGUAGUC